rnacentral:rRNA from 1 species
GGCUCAGAACGAACGCUGGCGGCAGGCUUAACACAUGCAAGUCGAACGCCCCGCAAGGGGAGUGGCAGACGGGUGAGUAACGCGUGGGAACAUACCCUUUCCUGCGGAAUAGCUCCGGGAAACUGGAAUUAAUACCGCAUACGCCCUACGGGGGAAAGAUUUAUCGGGGAAGGAUUGGCCCGCGUUGGAUUAGCUAGUUGGUGGGGUAAAGGCCUACCAAGGCGACGAUCCAUAGCUGGUCUGAGAGGAUGAUCAGCCACAUUGGGACUGAGACACGGCCCAAACUCCUACGGGAGGCAGCAGUGGGGAAUAUUGGACAAUGGGCGCAAGCCUGAUCCAGCCAUGCCGCGUGAGUGAUGAAGG